rnacentral:rRNA from 1 species
CGGAUCUCUUGGUUCUGGCAUCGAUGAAGAACGCAGCGAAAUGCGAUAAGUAAUGUGAAUUGCAGAAUUCAGUGAAUCAUCGAAUCUUUGAACGCACAUUGCGCCCGCCGGUAUUCCGCGGGGCAUGCCUGUUCGAGCGUCAUAUAAACCCUCAAGCC